rnacentral:tRNA from 13 species
UGUGUUCGGCCGGGAUUUGAACCCGGGACCUCUCGCACCCUAAGCGAGAAUCAUACCCCUAGACCACCGAACC